AGAGUUUGAUCCUGGCUCAGGAUGAACGCUAGCUACAGGCUUAACACAUGCAAGUCGAGGGGAAACGACAUCGAAAGCUUGCUUUUGAUGGGCGUCGACCGGCGCACGGGUGAGUAACGCGUAUCCAACCUGCCCACCACUUGGGGAUAACCUUGCGAAAGUAAGACUAAUACCCGAUGAUAUCUCUAGAAGACAUCUGAAAGGGAUUAAAGAUUUAUCGGUGAUGGAUGGGGAUGCGUCUGAUUAGCUUGUUGGCGGGGUAACGGCCCACCAAGGCAACGAUCAGUAGGGGUUCUGAGAGGAAGGUCCCCCACAUUGGAACUGAGACACGGUCCAAACUCCUACGGGAGGCAGCAGUGAGGAAUAUUGGUCAAUGGGCGAGAGCCUGAACCAGCCAAGUAGCGUGCAGGAUGACGGCCCUAUGGGUUGUAAACUGCUUUUAUAAGGGAAUAAAGUGAGUCUCGUGAGACUUUUUGCAUGUACCUUAUGAAUAAGGACCGGCUAAUUCCGUGCCAGCAGCCGCGGUAAUACGGAAGGUCCGGGCGUUAUCCGGAUUUAUUGGGUUUAAAGGGAGCGUAGGCCGGAGAUUAAGCGUGUUGUGAAAUGUAGACGCUCAACGUCUGCACUGCAGCGCGAACUGGUUUCCUUGAGUACGCACAAAGUGGGCGGAAUUCGUGGUGUAGCGGUGAAAUGCUUAGAUAUCACGAAGAACUCCGAUUGCGAAGGCAGCUCACUGGAGCGCAACUGACGCUGAAGCUCGAAAGUGCGGGUAUCGAACAGGAUUAGAUACCCUGGUAGUCCGCACGGUAAACGAUGGAUGCCCGCUGUUGGUCUGAAUAGGUCAGCGGCCAAGCGA
rnacentral:rRNA from 1 species